rnacentral:RNase_P_RNA from 2 species
CCGUUGUACCGGAUAGUCGCCCCGACGAUAGUCGGGGAGGAAAGUCCGAACACUUACUCCGCCUAAUGCGGGUUAAAAAGGUAGCGGGUAACGCCCGUCCGUCGCAAGACGCGAGAUGCGAACAGAAACGACCCGGUUUAGUCCGGCUGAAACGGCUAAAUUCUUACCCGAGUGCAAGGCCGAGUCCCCCGACGCAAGUCGGAGGAAGUGCCGCUAGAGGCAAUCGGUAACGAUUGUCCCAGAUAAAUGACUGUCCGUCCCAGUGCCGACGUUGCAUGUUGUCGACAUCAUUCCAAUGCCGAAGUUUCAAUCUCGGCAGUCACGGAUGUCAAAGACUUCAAGGUAACAUCGGCACUGGGACGACAGAAUUCGGCUUAUAGGUACAACGUGCAA